rnacentral:rRNA from 1 species
CUUUAAUUCCCGUUGAUCCUGCGGGAGGUCGCUGCUAUUUGGGUUCCACUUAGCCAUGCAAGUCUAGGGGGCUCUUCGGAGUCACCGGCGAAAUGCUCAGUAACACGUCGAUAAUUUACCCUUAAGUCUGGGAUAACCACGGGAAACUGUGGCUAAUACCGGAUAGAAAAUUGAGGCUGGAAUGCGCUUUUUUCGAAAGCUCCGGCGCUUAAGGAUAAGUCGGCGGCGGAUUAGGCUGUUGGUGAGGUAACGGCUCACCAAACCGAAGAUCCGUAGGGGGGAUGAGAGUCCUAGCCCCGAGAAGGGCACUGAGAUAAGGGCCCUAGCCCUAAGGGGUGCAGCAGGCGGGAAACCUUUACAAUACACGCAAGUGUGAUAAGGGAACCCAAAGUGCUUGCCUUCGGGUGAGCUUUUGUCAAGCGUAAAAACCUUGACGAAUAAGUGGUGGGUAAGACCGGUGCCAGCCGCCGCGGUAACACCGGCGCCACGAGUGGUGACCACGUUUAUUGGGCCUAAAGCGUCCGUAGCCGAUCUAAUAAGUUUCUUGUGAAAUCAUUAAGCUUAACUUAAUGAAUGGCAAGAAAUACUGUUAGGUUAGGGACCGGGAGGAGGCAGAAGUAUUCCUUGGGAAGCGGUAAAAUGUUUUAAUCCUUGGAAGACUACCUGUGGCGAAGGCGUCUGCCUAGAACGGAUCCGACGGUGAGGGACGAAAGCUGGGGGAGCGAACCGGAUUAGAUACCCGAGUAGUCCUAGCUGUAAACUCUGCGAACUAUGUGUUGCAUAUCUUCAGUGGAUAUGCAGUGCCGAAGCGAAGGUGUUAAGUUCGCCGCCUGGGAAGUAUGGUCGCAAGACUGAAACUUAAAGGAAUUGGCGGGGGCGCACUACAAGGAGUGGAGCGUGCGGUUUAAUCAGAUUCUACACCGUGAACCUCACCAGGAACGACGGCAGGAUGAAGGUCAGAUUGAAGGUCUUACCUAACACGCCGAGAGGAGGUGCAUGGCCGCCGUCAGUUCGUGCCGUAAGGUGUCCAGUUAAGUCUGGCAACGAACAAGACCUAUAUCUACAGUUGCUAACGAGUCCUCCGGGAUGAUUGAGCACACUGUAGAGACUGCCUUGGAAACAAGGAGGAAGGCGUAGGCAACGGUAGGUGGUAUGCCCCGAAUUUCCUGGGCUACACGCGCGCAACAAUGGUAGGGACAAUGGGCUACAACUCCGAAAGGAGAAGUUAAUCCUCGAAACCCUACCUUAGUUCGGAUUGAGGGCUGCAAUUCGCCCUCAUGAAGCUGGAAUUCCUAGUAAUCGCUUGUCAUCAGCGAGCGGUGAAUACGUCCCGGUGCCUUGCACACACCGCCCGUCAAACCAUUCGAGCAGGGUCUAGGUGAGGCUUAGGUUUUUGCCUAAGACGAAUCUAGGUUCAGUAAGAAGGGUUAAGUCGUCACAAGGUAGCCGUAGGGGAACCUGCGGCUGGAUCACCUCCUAU